rnacentral:rRNA from 1 species
AGAUGUUGGGUUAAGUCCCGCAACGAGCGCAACCCCUAUUUCCAGUAGCCAGCAGGUAGAGCUGGGCACUCUGGAGAGACUGCCCGGGAUAACCGGGAGGAAGGCGGGGAUGACGUCAAAUCAUCAUGCCCCUUAUGAUCAGGGCUACACACGUGCUACAAUGGCGUAAACAAAGGGAAGCGAGACGGUGACGCCAAGCAAAUCCCAAAAAUAACGUCCCAGUUCGGAUUGUAGUCUGCAACUCGACUACAUGAAGCUGGAAUCGCUAGUAAUCGCGAAUCAGAAUGUCGCGGUGAAUACGUUCCCGGGUCUUGUACACACCGCCCGUCACACCAUGGGAGUCGGAAAUGCCCGAAGUCAGUGACCUAACCGAAAGGAAGGAGCUGCCGAAGGUGGAGCCGGUAACUGGGGUGAAGUCGUAACAAGGUAACCGU